GGACAGAUGGCCGAGCGGUUUAAGGCACCGGUCUUGAAAACCGGCAAGGGAGGAAUCCCUUCGCGAGUUCAAAUCUCGCUCUGUCCGCCA
rnacentral:tRNA from 1 species